UCGAAUGACUUCUUCUAUUGUUAAUGAGUGUAGCGACCUGUAUAUUCAGUUGUGACAUAGAUAUUUAAUUAAUGGAGAUAAAUUGAGUCAUAUUGAGACAAGCUCAGUCUUACACGAUACAGUCCUCUGCAAUGGAAACAAUUAAAGAAGAUUUUGUGAUAUUUUGUGAAGACACAACCAGGCAAAGAAUUGAGGAUCACUUGAAAAUAAGCGGAUUCAAAAUUAGUCACGAACGUGUUCUAAAUCAGGGAACUGAUGACAGUCGGUUUGUGAACGAUACGGGACGGAGUAUUCGUGUAUUAGUUUGGGAAAAGCCAAGAGAAAACGACGAAGACAACCAAUACAUUAAGAUUGUUAGCAGGAGCAGGACAAAGGUUAUUUCGAUGACUGGUGAUGCUGGUUGGUCUGAAAGGCUGCAGACGGUGUUACAAGACUGUCCUCCCGAAUGGUGUGUUUGCCGUGAGUGUUCUAAUAUGCCAACUAAGGAUGAAAGGGUUUGCUGCGGAGGAAGGGAUGAGUGCCGAUCGUUGUCUUUGGAGAUGAUAAAAUCAAACAAAUUCGGGCAAAGAGAAAAUCAAGAACUGCGACAUAAUAUGUAUAAAAAAUUAUCGAAGGAUAUCCAUGGCUCCCUCGGUAAAGGGGUUAGAAAACCUUUACCAAGCUGUUGCGUUUGGGCAAUACGUAACCGUUACCCUGACCCUUACGGUAAUUAUCGUGGCUUUCGAUCCACAAAACCAGCAAGUGGACAGAGAUGCAUCAUAUUGGCAAUCUUCAUAAUGUGUUGCUUGUUUAUUUUAGUAAAGCCCCGCAUAUUCAACAAACUUCGAAUAUUUCUACAAUUCUUUAAUACCGGUAAAUAAAUGAACACACGCCUUACGAUACUGACAGAUAAUCAGAGACCGUAUAUUAAGGCAACCUGAACUGAUGUGCUCAAGUUACAAUCCGUUAUUUUAAAACACCAGUGAAAAUAAGGACAUUGAUCAAGAUAAUAUAAAAAUUAAAAUUGCCGCAAGAAUUGAAAAAGUAUAUAAUGUAUACAAUAGAUUAAAAUAAAUAAAGGAAAAUAAACAAUGUCAGUUCGUGCUACGAUCAUUGGCGGACAUUGGCAGAUAUACAGGUUAUUGUCCAGUUUGAUAAAUAUAUAAUUUGAGGAUAACCACACUACGAUAAUCACAGUAUCUUUGAAAAUAUGACAACUUCCUCGUGUCAAUUGACUAACAGUAAAUAAAGUUAUAAAAAUUGAACAUGAUAAUAAUAACUAAAGAAUUGAAUAUGUUGCCAUCGCGUGACAAAUUGGAGUCGCUUAGAUUUUUUCUCUGAGGUUUAUGAUUGUUUACCGGUUUUAUUUACGAUAAUAUGGAUAAAUUUAUGACUAUAAUGAAACUGACGUGAAAUGAUCUCGUGUAUAUAUUUACUGCUGUGAUGUGAUACCGGAUAACGGACUUUUGAUACUUCUAUAUUUUUCCUUUGUUCUCCCUAAAUCAAGUUGGCGGACACUAGUGUCAACUCCGAUACUGAAGGCAUGUCACCAAAGAAUAUAUCUAUUUGUUUUAUGACUUCGUCCAGUAAUGACAACAUCACUUCACCAACUAUUCAACUAUCCGAUAAUGGUUCAUUACAACAGCCAUAUGAACUUAAUCCUACAAACAACUAUUGAAUGCUACAUUUCGUGAGGAUCUCACAAUAUCGGAAACUGGAGGGCGUUUUCGGCGAAACUUUGCUACUAGUGUUACGAUCCUGUGAACACCCCUACCAUACAUUUAUUGUUUUUAUUGUUGUAUAAAUUAUUAUAUAAUUUAUAAGUUGUUGACUGUUAUGAAGUAUUUUAAUCAGAACGUGCCUUUCUUUGUUAACGAGAUCACUGGUUUGUUUACCUUUACGACUGCGCCAUUUUGUUCCGCGCUGUUUUCUUCGCCGGCUGCAAGUAGCCGAAAACUCCUCAUAGCUCCGUACAAAUGGAGUGUCAUGAACCAAUGAGUCGAUGGGCUACAUUAGUAAACCCAAUUAUCGAUAUCUGCAUAUAAAUAAAUAUAUUUCCGCCUCUAAUCUUACCGUAUUUUCGAUUGAAACGUCGACGAGCUAACCGUCCGCCAUACUACGUUGGGGGUAAUCAUAGAUGGGGGUAAUCAUAGAGUUAUAUAAUUAUAGCUCUAUGGGGGUAAUACACUUUUACUCUGUGGGGUAAUAGACGUCAUCGGGUAAUAUGACGUCAAAAUUUGGUGACGUAAUAUGGCGCGCUGUACGUAUCAUUCCAGUUAGUUGGCCUUCGCAACUCAUUGUGUACGGACGUAUUGUUGGAGUCCGGAAAAUAGCCAUGGCUCAAUGCACCUUUAGUGGUGAGAAAUUAAUUAUGAGAUUGUAGUAGGUUGAUUAACCUGUGCAUGUUGGGGAGCUUAAUUAAGCUUCUUGUGAUUUAUAAUAAUAAUUUCGGUGUUUACCGACAUUAUUAGGCCUACCGUGCCUUUGACUUUGUUUGUCCUUUGACCUCCAGUUAGCCUAACUGUGAGUUGACGUUUGGCUUUGACUCCAUACAUUUACACACCUAUCUUGCCCUUUUUAGCCAAGGUGUUUUGCAAUAUUAACAUAUAGAACAUUGAGAUAUAAUUGAUUAACCAGCUUUGCCCGUAGAACCUAAAGUGGUAUUACAACCAGUCAUUGGUGCAACAAAACCUGGUGUUUCGAACCGAAUCUGGUGCGUGCCUGAAUGAUCUGGGUGCCUGGAACCGAAUCUGGUGUUUUGAACCUAAUCCGGUUGUGAUUAUUAUUAGCAGCAAGGUUUCCAGUGGAAAUGCUGCAGAGAGUUGGGGAGCGUAAAUAAUAAGGUGGUCUGGAACCAAAUUUGGGCACUAAAGAGGGAUAACUCCUCUUGGGCUUGAUAUUUUUAUUUACAGGAAGACCGUACCAAUCCAGAAGUUCCCGAAUCGUGUAUCGCGUACACCAAUUAUCCUGAUAUAUUCACAACUUUAAAAACUAAGUACCGGUACUAAUAAUUAUUCUCAACGUGGAACUAGUAAAACUUUUAACUUCAAUGUACAUUUUUAAAUAUUAAAUAUUAAAAAUGCAUUAUGCAAGAGCUAAAUCUGUCUAUUGUAGGUCUUUCUUUAGGCCUGGAAUGUUUUCUAAAGUAUUAAUUAGACAUUAAUUAACUGACCCAGGCCUUAAUCAACUUUCGAUGGCAUCAGAUUUCUCCGAUAUUAAAUAGAUUAGAAUGGUUCAGCGAUACUUUGAUUUAAUAAAAUAUGGAGGACCGAGACUUAGCUUCGAUUAACCAGUACGGUGGUUGAAAUUAUGCACACGUCUGUCAAACCUUCAAAGGCUAAUAUCUUCGCUUGCAAUAGAGUACUUUGAAUGAAAUUUUCAAAUUAUUCAUUUUACAUCACCUACUUUCGAACUAUUAUAGCAAGAUUGGCUAGUUCUUUAUCUAAAUCUUACAUAAUGUAUCUUUAAGCUUUGGUCACAGAGUGUUUAAUAUAAUGACAUGAGGUGGACAUAACUUUGUUAUUUUUUACCUGAAAUUUUUAAUUGACUUUUGAUAUAUCUUUAAAAAGUAGACUAAUGUCUAUUUAAUUUCUUUUUGUUUUAAAUUGUAGAUUUUAAAAGAAGGCUCACCAAGGAAUACAAGUCAUACUGUGACAGAAGAGACUGUUAAUGCACCAGUUACGGUUUUAAACCAUAUCGUAGACGUAUUGGUAUUGCAAGUCGGCGACACAAAAUAAGAUAAAAAUCUUACAGAAGAAGGGAAUAAAUCGAUGUUAGCAGUGGAAGUGUGAUGAAGUUAAAUCCAGUGUA